AAUAGAUACCCGGGUAGUCCACGCCGUAAACGAUGAGUGCUAAGUGUUAGGGGGUUUCCGCCCCUUAGUGCUGCAGCUAACGCAUUAAGCACUCCGCCUGGGGAGUACGGUCGCAAGACUGAAACUCAAAGGAAUUGACGGGGGCCCGCACAAGCGGUGGAGCAUGUGGUUUAAUUCGAAGCAACGCGAAGAACCUUACCAGGUCUUGACAUCCCGCUGACCGCUAUGGAGACAUAGUUUUCCCUUCGGGGACAGCGGUGACAGGUGGUGCAUGGUUGUCGUCAGCUCGUGUCGUGAGAUGUUGGGUUAAGUCCCGCAACGAGCGCAACCCUUGUUCUUAGUUGCCAUCAUUUAGUUGGGCACUCUAAGGAGACUGCCGGUGACAAACCGGAGGAAGGUGGGGAUGACGUCAAAUCAUCAUGCCCCUUAUGACCUGGGCUACACACGUGCUACAAUGGACGGUACAAACGGUCGCGAAGUCGCGAGACGGAGCCAAUCCGAUAAAACCGUUCUCAGUUCGGAUUGUAGGCUGCAACUCGCCUAC
rnacentral:rRNA from 1 species